GCAGUGAGCAAGAACAUAGACCGGUUUUUGCUACAAAGCAUUGACUCCUCAUCAGUCUGAGCUUCCAGUUCACAGGAUCAUUGUCAUUCACAGUUGAGCAUGAGUAAUCUCACUUCAAAUAGAUCUCCAGGGAAAUAAAUGCCUGCAAAGAGAGCCCCUGGGGUAUGUCUUCUAGAUGAUUCCAAAUCCUCUCAAGUUGACUAUGAGAUUGACCAUCACGUGACCUGUUAGAAAGUCCAUAGCUCACUGAAGGAAAUGGGCUGAAGAGAUGGCUCAGGAGUUAAGAGCACUGG